rnacentral:antisense_RNA from 1 species
UGUGGGAGCGGGCUUGCUCGCGAUACAGGCAGCGCGGUGUGUCAGUCAUGGCGCAGUGAUGCCAUCGCGAGCAAGCCCGCUCCCACA